UGGUUCUAGCGUGUUGUACGCUGAAGCUACAUCUUCUCUCGUUCCGUUUAAAUCGAUAAUAUCCGUGUAAUUAGCGAUCGGGACUUUCGUUGGGAAGUGGCUGAUCAUAUCGAUUUUGUGCCCUUUCUCUGUAAGUCUUUGCACAGAGCAUGGAACAUUCUGAAGUGACUUUUUCCAUCGAACAGGAAGAGACAGAGAAUUCUAUAUCUGCAAAGGAUAUUCAACUGCCUUCUAAGCGUUUUCCAAUAAAAUUAAAUUUAUCUGUAUUAAAUUUCAAUCAAAUACCAAUAGAAUAUGGAAAAUGUAAUAAUUUAAACAUAUGAAAAUUCGGAAUCGAAAAGUUUGAAAAUUUGAAAACCUGAAAACUCGAGAGUGUAGAAAAUUUGCAAAUCAGAAGCUUCGAAAGUUUGGAAAUUUGAAACAUUCGAAACAUUUUCUACGGUAUCUUAACCCAGCACCAAUUGUUUUAUGUUAUUAGCAACAUAAUUGUCUAUUUUCAUUGUCCAAUUGUUUCGAUUCAAGAUACAGUUGUAACUCGCUGUUCAAGUAUCUCACAAAUGGUCAAUUUUCCAACUAAUCUACUCAGCUACGUCUCGAAUAAAAAAAUUAUCCAGCACUGAAAGAUUUUUACCUUCAAUUAUGCGCUGAAUGAACACCAAAUGUAUUAAUAUUUCAGGAUGAACCAUGGAUUGCGCGAACGUCUGUCAAGGGAAUUUGUAAAAGGCUGACUGUGUUUUUUACGUAGCUCUUUUGUCAUAAUUAUUGUAAAGUCUAAAGGAAGGGACAGUCACAUGAUCAUGCAAUUAAAAUAUUAUCUUGAAGAAAACAACGUGUAGACUUUAUUCUUACGUUUCUGUUCAUUUUUACCUGUAAUUAUAUAGUUUGCGUGGUUUGCUUACAAUUUCAUACUUUGCCGGUAAAAACGAAGAAAGUACAAAGAGGGAAAUUCUAUAGAGGAUAAAUUGUAUACAAACGACGAAAAUUUAGAUAGUAGGAGUAUAUUUAGAAAACUUAUCUGGCAUUUCAUUUCCUUAUGUUUACUCUGUUUCUGUAUUUAUCAUUGAUAAACAUAGUCAUAGCGAAAACAAGGUUUUUAAAUACUCCAAGCUCUUCAAUUUUCUAAUGUUAUAAUUUUCCAAGCUCUUCAAUUUUCGAACGUUCGAUCUGUCAAAUUUUCCAAUAUCAAAAUUUUCAAAUUUCUGACCACCUGAUUUUUCGAAUUCGCAAACGUCUGCCUCUGCAAAUUCUCCAAUACUAGAGUCUGCAAAUUUUUGAAUCUCGUAUCCUCUGAAUCUCCAAAUUCUCAAACUCGGUGAUCACGGGACAUUUCAAAAUAUAAUUCCAUUAUCUCAGUUUCAUUAUUCAUAACGAAGAAGCAAUCCAUCGUAAGUACUCCCAUUAAUCGUGCUAUAAAAUUCUGUCUCUCGCAAACAAAUUCGUUAAUUACAGAGACACUGGCCAUUUGAAUAGGCAUUUCCCUGCUUUCUGUCUCGAAUAUAUUUCUCAAAAGAACAAUCGACGUUGCGUCCGAAUUAUUUAUCGUCAAGUUUGCUGUCUUAAUUUUCCGCAUCGCGUGCUCCGUGAACGGUCAUUAUUAAUGGUUCGUUGAGCCGAAUGAUGAAAAAUAUCGUAACUCUACAGAACUACCAAAAUUUCAUGGUAUUUUUAUUUCUUUUUCGACUAUUUACAAAAGUGAAAUUGUUUCCGGAUGAAAGCAAUUUUCUUAAUGUCGUGUAACUUUCAAAGAAACUACCCCCUGCUACCGUCAGUUUUAGCUGGUCGGUUAGGAAAAUGUCGCAAGUUGCAGUUCCAUUUUACGCAGGCUAAAGCGUACAAUGAUACCGGAUGAAUAAGGUUUAGUGUCUGGCAUGGGAACUCGGUAAACUGCUUGAGAACUUGUCAAAUGUUUACGUAAUUUUAAUACGAUUAAACGUGGCCCUGUCCAUGUUUAAUUAUACUUGAUCAAACUUUCAACGGCUCGUUUAAUCGAGUUAUAAGUGGCUUCAUCGUUAAGUUCCUCUAGCCCGGCUCUUCGUUGCUGUUCUCAAUUGCACGCGUAACACGUCCUGUAUUGUCGUAGAUUCCUUUUCGACGUUUCUUUAAUUGUCAGAAAUGUUGUGUUCUUGGCUUUACAGUGUAUCGAUUUAACAUUUAUCGUCACCUCGCGAUGAAAUUUGCAUCAAAGGUAUUUAUAUAUUGGGUUGUCCGAAAAGUUCCUUUCGUUUCAUAAGUGAAAUAAUAGAUGCACAACAUUUUUUAUUAUUUUUUUUUCUUUUACAUCUCUUUUAUCUAUCUAAGCCUAAUAUCCAUUUCGCAUAUCUCCUUUUUACUCUAUCCAGUCUUUCUUCCAUGUUCCAGUCCCAUACUUCUGCUCCAAACAUCUUCAUUCUCCUUUUGUAGUCCUGUUUGAAUAUUCUUUCUCCCACGUUCCAUGUUUUCUUCAUUGCUAUGGUUGCUCUCUUUUUCCUGUCUUGUAUGUGCUUCUCAUCACUUCUGUUUUUCUGUAGUACAUACCCUAGG